rnacentral:rRNA from 1 species
GAUGAACGCUGGCGGCGUGCUUAACACAUGCAAGUCGAACGAUGAACCUCACUUGUGGGGGGAUUAGUGGCGAACGGGUGAGUAACACGUGAGUAACCUGCCCUUGACUCUGGGAUAAGCCUGGGAAACCGGGUCUAAUACUGGAUACGACCUUCUGGCGCAUGCCAUGUUGGUGGAAAGCUUUUGUGGUUUUGGAUGGACUCGCGGCCUAUCAGCUUGUUGGUGGGGUAAUGGCCUACCAAGGCGACGACGGGUAGCCGGCCUGAGAGGGUGACCGGCCACACUGGGACUGAGACACGGCCCAGACUCCUACGGGAGGCAGCAGUGGGGAAUAUUGCACAAUGGGCGCAAGCCUGAUGCAGCGACGCCGCGUGAGGGAUGAAGGCCUCCGGGUUGUAAACCUCUUUCAGUAGGGAAGAAGCCGGCUUUUGGGUUGGUGACGGUACCUGCAGAAGAAGCGCCGGCUAACUACGUG